rnacentral:lncRNA from 1 species
UGUGUUCUAGCCACACCGGGGUCUGGGGUCGACUUCGGGCGUUUCGGGGACGGCGAUCCCAGGGCCUGAGUGCCCAGCCAUGGGCGGUGGGGGCUGGCUGUCCUGUGUCCCGAGGGUCCGUCCUCUGGGACGUAAGUGCCGUGAAAAGGGAGGCCCGAGCCGGCGGAAGACAGCCUCCCGCUUCACGGCAUGGCCGGCCCCCACACUGCCUGUGGCUGGACACCCUUUUCCUGGGAUCCUUGUCUCAGAGCCUCCCGAGGUCAGACCCCAGUGCGGCUAGCACACAUGUCGCCCAGGACCAGAUCCCAGGGGCUCGUGAUGGCUGGCCACCGCUCCGCAUGGGACAGAACCCCUGGUCUCUGGGACGGCCAGCCCCCGAGCUGGCGGACGACAGCCACCUGAUUCAAGGCUUGGCUGGCCCCCAUGCCGAUCGAAGCCAGACCCCCAGAACACGAGACAACCGGCCCCUGCACAGCCGGUGGCCGGACACCCGGUCCCCGGGAUCGCCGUCCCCAAGCCACCCGAAAUUUGCCCCGGACCCUGGUUCGGCUAGCACUCAUGUCGCCCAAGACCGGAGCCCAGGAGUUAGGGAAGUCCAGCCACCGCUCCGCAUGGGACCGAACCCCCAGGUCUCUGGGAAGGCCAAUUCGCAAGCUGGCGGAUGCCAGCCUCCUGCUUCGUGGCACAGCUGGCCCCCACGCCACCCGAGUUCGGACCCCCACGACGCAGGACAGCGGGCCCCUGUGCCUCCAGAGGCCGGCUCCCGGGAUCCCAGGAAAGCCGGGCCGCAUGAGCGGACAUCCACCCCGGGUCAAGGGACAGCCGCCCCCCUUGCCACCCGAGACUUGCCCCCUCAGGGCUUGGGACUGCUGGCCGCCGGGCCGCCUGAGGCCGAACUCCCGGACGCGGGACCGCUGUCCCCAAGCCGCUCGAGGUCAGCCCUGGACCCCGGUGCGGCUAGCACACGCGUUGCCCAAGACCCGGAGCCCAGGGGCUCGGGACGGUCGGAUCCCACGCCUCUGGAUGGAGGCAACCGGGAGUUCGGGACAUCGGCUGCCGCUCCGCACAGGACAGAACUCCCUGUCUCCGGGACGGCCAAUCCUCGAGCCGGCAGACGCCAGCCUCCCGCUUCAUGACAUGGCCGGCCCCCACGCCGCCCGAGUUCGGACCCCAGAGACACAGGUCAGCUGGCCCCCGCACAGCCCGAAGCCAGACACCCGGGCCCUGGGAACGCCCCCUCCCAUCCUCCCGAGGACAGACCACGGGACAGCCAGCC